UACGUAGGGGGCAAGCGUUGUCCGGAAUCAUUGGGCGUAAAGAGCGUGUAGGUGGCUCGGUAAGUCCGCUGUGAAAGUCCAGGGCUCAACCCUGGAAAGCCGGUGGAAACUGUCGAGCUCGAGUCCGGAAGAGGCGAGUGGAAUUCCUGGUGUAGCGGUGAAAUGCGCAGAUAUCAGGAAGAACACCUAUGGCGAAGGCAGCACUCUGGGACGGUACUGACGCUGAGACGCGAAAGCGUGGGGAGCGAACAGG
rnacentral:rRNA from 1 species